rnacentral:rRNA from 2 species
CUAGUAACGGCGAGUGAAGCGGCAACAGCUCAAAUUUGAAAUCUGGCCUUCGGGUCCGAGUUGUAAUUUGUAGAGGAUGCUUUUGGUGAGGUACCUUCCGAGUUCCCUGGAACGGGACGCCAUAGAGGGUGAGAGCCCCGUCUGGUUGGAUACCGAUCCUCUGUAAAGCUCCUUCGACGAGUCGAGUAGUUUGGGAAUGCUGCUCUAAAUGGGAGGUAUAUGUCUUCUAAAGCUAAAUAUUGGCCAGAGACCGAUAGCGCACAAGUAGAGUGAUCGAAAGAUGAAAAGCACUUUGAAAAGAGAGUUAAAAAGUACGUGAAAUUGUUGAAAGGGAAGCGCUCAUGACCAGACUUGGGCUUGGUUGAUCAUCCAGGGUUCUCCCUGGUGCACUCUUCCAGCCCAGGCCAGCAUCAGUUCGCUGUGGGGGAUAAAGGCUUCGGGAAUGUGGCUCCUCCGGGAGUGUUAUAGCCCGCUGCGUAAUACCCUGUGGUGGACUGAGGUUCGCGCAUCUGCAAGGAU